rnacentral:rRNA from 1 species
AGAACGAACGCUGGCGGCAUGCCUAACACAUGCAAGUCGAACGAGAUCCUUCGGGGUCUAGUGGCGCACGGGUGCGUAACGCGUGGGAAUCUGCCCUUAGGUACGGAAUAACUCAGGGAAACUUGUGCUAAUACCGUAUGAUGUCUUCGGACCAAAGAUUUAUCGCCUAGGGAUGAGCCCGCGUAGGAUUAGCUAGUUGGUGGGGUAAAGGCCUACCAAGGCUACGAUCCUUAGCUGGUCUGAGAGGAUGAUCAGCCACACUGGGACUGAGACACGGCCCAGACUCCUACGGGAGGCAGCAGUGGGGAAUAUUGGACAAUGGGCGAAAGCCUGAUCCAGCAAUGCCGCGUGAGUGAAGAAGGCCUUCGGGUUGUAAAGCUCUUUACCCGGGAAGAUAAUGACUGUACCGGGAGAAUAAGCCCGGCUAACUCCGCGCCAGCAGCCGC